CUUAAAGGAAUUGACGGGACCCCGCACAAGCGGUGGAUUAUGUUGUUUAAUUCGACGCAACGCGAAGAACCUUACCAGGCCUUGACAUACUCGGCAAAGCUCUAGAGAUAGAGUGGAGGUUAUCCGGGAUACAGGUGGUGCAUGGUUGUCGUCAGCUCGUGUCGUGAGAUGUUGGGUUAAGUCCCGCAACGAGCGCAACCCCUAUUGUUAGUUGCCAUCAUUCAGUUGGGCACUCUAGCGAGACUGCCGGUAAUAAACCGGAGGAAGGUGGGAUGACGUCAAAUCAUCAUGCCCCUCAUGACCUGGGCUACACACGUGCUACAAUGGUUGGUACAACGAGUUGCGAGUCGGUGACGGCGAGCUAAUCUCUUAAAGCCAAUCUCAGUUCGGAUUGUAGGCUGCAACUCGCCUACAUGAAGUCGGAAUCGCUAGUAAUCGCGGAUCAGCACGCCGCGGUGAAUACGUUCCCGGGCCUU
rnacentral:rRNA from 1 species